GGCGGUCACCGACACGCGUCGAGCCCCCCGCCCCCGCCCCCGCCCCUCACCUUCUCCUCCUCUUCCUCCUCCUCCUCCUCCCCGGCAGAGCUGUAGGCCUCAAAGUGGUGACGCGGGGUCAUCCGCAGGCCCGUUACCACCUCAUUUUCCUCUCGCGCAGCGGCGGGGGCGCGCAGGACUAGGACCGGGCCGACAGAGGAGGGAGAAGAGAAGGAACCCGGCGGGGUUGGGGGGGCGCGGUAGCUGGCGCUCGAGCGGGACGCACGGCUGCGGCCAGAAGGUCGGUCAGCGAAUUAGUUCCAUGACCACCCCGGACCUGAGGCCGCCACCGCCGGUCCCGCUCCUCCAACCGCCGCCGCUGGUGCCUGGGAGCGGAAGGGUCUUCCUGAACCUCACGAUGACAGAUGGAAACUUCCCAAACCAACUUCCCAACUUCCCAAAC
rnacentral:lncRNA from 1 species